rnacentral:rRNA from 1 species
UGUCGCUGACUUUUUCGUCGUGCACGCCCGAGUGCUCUCAAACAAUCCAUCUCACCCUAUGUGCACCACCGCGUGGGUUCCCUUUUGGCUCGUCCUGAGGGGGGCUCGCGUUUUCACACAAACUAAACACAGUGUAGAAUGUCCUUCUUUGCGAUCACACGCAAUUAAUACAACUUUCAACAACGGAUCUCUUGGCUCUCGCAUCGAUGAAGAACGCAGCGAAAUGCGAUACGUAAUGUGAAUUGCAGAAUUCAGUGAAUCAUCGAAUCUUUGAACGCACCUUGCGCCCCUUGGCAUUCCGAGGGGCACACCCGUUUGAGUGUCGUGAAAUUCUCAAAACCCUUUUCUUUUGGAGAGGAUUUUGGACUUGGAGGCUUUUUGCUGGUUUCGCACAGAAGCGAGCUCCUCCUAAAUGGAUUAGUGGGGUCUGCUUUGCCGAUCCUUGACGUGAUAAGUUGUUUCUACGUCUUGGGUUUGGCACCGCACCUUGCUUCUAACCGUCUCAUGGACAAUGAUGGCGUUCCGGUCACCACCGUUUCAUCGGUGGGAGGCUUGACCCACCAAAAAAACCUUGACCUCAAAUCGGGUGAGACUACCCGCUGAACUUAAGCAUAUCAAUAAGCGGAGGAAAAGAAACUAACAAGGAUUCCCCUAGUAACUGCGAGUGAAGCGGGAAAAGCUCAAAUUUAAAAUCUGGUGGCCUUUGUCCAUCCGAGUUGUAAUUUAGAGAA